UACGGAGGGGGCAAGCGUUACUCGGAAUUAUUGGGCGUAAAGGGCGCGUAGGCGGUCGUGCGCGUCGGAGGUGAAAACCCGGGGCUCAACCCCGGGCCUGCAUUCGAUACGGGCAGACUAGAGUUCGGUAGGGGAGUCUGGAAUUCCUGGUGUAGCGGUGAAAUGCGCAGAUAUCAGGAGGAACACCGGUGGCGAAGGCGGGACUCUGGGCCGAUACUGACGCUGAGGAGCGAAAGCGUGGGGAGCAAACAGG
rnacentral:rRNA from 1 species